ensembl:lncRNA
AGAGGACAGUGUGUGAAGGGAUAACAAGAUCCUCUCACCACAUGGUCUGUUAAGGGAGAAAGAAAUAACAAAGCUUUUAUUUCCUUUAUGGAAAGCAAAGAAGCAGAAAAACUAUGUUUACAGAAGACAGAUCUUGGGGAGAUGUGGAGAGAAGAGGUCCUGAUUCCCCUUAGGAUUUGCACCAGGCACCCACACCAAGAUUGGGAAAGAAUCUCAAGAAGGCUUUCCCACGGUAUGGCUGGGACAGAAGGAGCAGCCACUGCCCAAAUUGGUCAGAUACACAUUCUCCAUCUUCCCUGUAGGACAAACCCUUAAUGAAGGGGACAAAAACUGUGGACUGAGAUCACUGGUAAGAAGCUGCUGUAGCUGGAGGAGAACAGCUAACAAAGCUAUCUCUGGGAAGGAACAGAGAUGUUUGUGAAGUUCACACAUCUGAGACAUUCAGGUUCACAGUGCUUGCUUAAGUCUGAGGCUUAACCAGAAAAUCAGAGAAUGCCCCGUCUAUCCCCUUUCUCUAUGCAGCAAGCAAGCUUGCUGCAGAAAUAACUGUGAAAUGCAGCCAGGAGAGCUACAAGACAGAUUCUCUCUGGGGAGUACCAGAAAGACCCAAGGCCAAAUGAAAAGCACAUACCCAGAAAUAUCAUCUGGAAAAUUAGCCCUCACCAUAAAAGCACAGUAACUAAUGGAACAUAAAGCCUGUUGAAGGUGACUACACCAACGAUAAACAUCAAAUCAGCCAGAUUUCUGAUUAGAUUAACACAAUUUCUCACACUAAGCGCCUAGAAGAAGAAAAGACAGGUUCAUCUCCAAACAUUAGGAAAAAAACCCAUUUACUUUAAUAUAUAUUGUUCUACUCAAUAGCUCCAGCUUUCAACUACAACAAAAGAAUUAUACCACACAUGAAAAGGCAAGAAAAACAGUCUAAUGAGAUAAAACCAUAAUUGGAACCAGACUCAUAUAUGAUACAGACUUAUGUGGGCACUAUCAGAUAAUGGCUUUGGUUAAUACGUUGAAAGACCUAAAGGAAAAGGUAGACAGCAUAUAAGGCCAGAUAUGUUAUUUCAGUAUAGAAAUGGAGACCAUUAGAAAGAAUCAAAUGGAAUUGCUAGAAACACAACACAGUAACAGAGAGGGAAAGUGCCUUUAACGGGCUCAUCAGUACGACUGACAGAGCUGAGUAAAAAAAUCAGUGAACGUAAUGAUAGGAAGAGAAAAUAUACAAAAUGAAAUACAAAAAGAAAAACAUUCAAAACAGUACAGGCUACUCAAGAGUUACAGGACAAUAUCAGAAAUAGCAGACAGUCUAACAGAAGCAUAAUUGGAGUUCCAGAAGGAUGAGAAAAUGAGCAAAAGAAGGAUUUUAGGAUAAAUGCUGAGAAUUCUCCAAAAUUAGUGACAGACACAAAAUCACACACUGAAGAACAGGGUAAAUACAGAGCCAAAUAAACAAACACAUCUAGAUGUAUUACAUACAAACUUCUACAAAUUAAUGAUAAAGUGAAAAUAUUGAAGGCAUUAAGAGAAAAUAGGCAUUAUUUACAGAGGAACAAUGAUGAGAAUUACAGCAGAAGAGACGUUGGUCAGAAAUCAUGCAACCAGGAAGACAGUGGAUUAACAUUUUUAAAAUCCUGAAUGAAAAAAAAGGCUAGCAAUCCAAAGUUCUAUACUUAUUUAGAAUAUCCAUCUGCAUGCCUCUAAUCCCAGCUACUCAGGAGGCAGAGGCAGGAGGAUCACUUGAGUCUGUGUGAGGUCAGCCUGGACAACAUAGCAAGACCUUGUUACUUAAACCCACAGAAGACUGUAAAAGAGAUAAGAAGUAUAAAAUACAAAUGGAACAAAUAGAAAAGAGCUAGUAAAGUGGCAAAUUUUAACCCAACUGUAUUAAUAAUCAUUUAAAAUGAGAAUGGUCUAAACACGUAAAUGAUUGAGACUGAAUACAAAAGAUGCUUCAAAUAUAUGCUGUUUAUGAUAAACUCACUUUAAAUAUAAAGACAUACAUAGAUUAAAAAGAUAAAUACAAAUGUCCAAGUAUUCCUUAUCUGAAAUGGUUGGGAUAGAAGCGUUUGGAUUUUGGAUUCUUUUGUUUUUUCUUCAGAUUUUGCAAUUUUUGAAUAUACAUAAUGCUGUAUCUUGGGGAUAGGAGUUAGGUCCAAACAUGAAAUUCACCUAUGUUUCAUAUAUUCCUUACACACAUAUCCUGAAGGUAAUUUUGCACAACAUUUUUAAUAAUUCUGCAUAUUAAAGAAUUUGUGUACAUUUGACCCCCAGAGGUCAGGUGUGGAAUUUUCCACUCGAAAAGUUUCAGAUUUUGAAGUACUUUGGAUUUCAGAAUGCCCAACAUGUACCAUGAAAACAGUAAUCAAAAGAAAAGCCAGAGUAGCUAUCUUAGUUUUAAAGUAAACUUCAGAGCAUGGAUGAUUAUGAGGACAAAGAUAUUACUUAGUGAUAAAGAGGUCAGUUUCCCAAGAAGACAGGACAACCCUAUGUGACUGUACCUAACAACAGAGACUUCAAAAUACACAAUGUGAAACUGACAGAUUUGAAGGGAGAAAGGGCUAAAUCUACAAUGAUAGUUGGAGAGUUCAACAAUGUUCUUCCGAAGCCAAUAGAACAAGCAGGGAGAAAAAAAUCAAUGAAGCACAAAGGACCCAACAACUCUGUCCAAUCAUUUGGUUUAAUUGACUCUGACAG